AAAUUGAAGAGUUUGAUCAUGGCUCAGAUUGAACGCUGGCGGCAGGCCUAACACAUGCAAGUCGAACGGUAACAGGAAGCAGCUUGCUGCUUUGCUGACGAGUGGCGGACGGGUGAGUAAUGUCUGGGAAACUGCCUGAUGGAGGGGGAUAACUACUGGAAACGGUGGCUAAUACCGCAUAACGUCGCAAGACCAAAGAGGGGGACCUUCGGGCCUCUUGCCAUCAGAUGUGCCCAGAUGGGAUUAGCUUGUUGGUGAGGUAACGGCUCACCAAGGCGACGAUCCCUAGCUGGUCUGAGAGGAUGACCAGCCACACUGGAACUGAGACACGGUCCAGACUCCUACGGGAGGCAGCAGUGGGGAAUAUUGCACAAUGGGCGCAAGCCUGAUGCAGCCAUGCCGCGUGUAUGAAGAAGGCCUUCGGGUUGUAAAGUACUUUCAGCGGGGAGGAAGGUGUUGUGGUUAAUAACCGCAGCAAUUGACGUUACCCGCAGAAGAAGCACCGGCUAACUCCGUGCCAGCAGCCGCGGUAAUACGGAGGGUGCAAGCGUUAAUCGGAAUUACUGGGCGUAAAGCGCACGCAGGCGGUCUGUCAAGUCGGAUGUGAAAUCCCCGGGCUCAACCUGGGAACUGCAUUCGAAACUGGCAGGCUUGAGUCUUGUAGAGGGGGUAGAAUUCCAGGUGUAGCGGUGAAAUGCGUAGAGAUCUGGAGGAAUACCGGUGGCGAAGGCGGCCCCCUGGACAAAGACUGACGCUCAGGUGCGAAAGCGUGGGGAGCAAACAGGAUUAGAUACCCUGGUAGUCCACGCCGUAAACGAUGUCUACUUGGAGGUUGUGCCCUUGAGGCGUGGCUUCCGGAGCUAACGCGUUAAGUAGACCGCCUGGGGAGUACGGCCGCAAGGUUAAAACUCAAAUGAAUUGACGGGGGCCCGCACAAGCGGUGGAGUAUGUGGUUUAAUUCGAUGCAACGCGAAGAACCUUACCUGGUCUUGACAUCCACAGAAGAAUCCAGAGAUGGAUUUGUGCCUUCGGGAACUGUGAGACAGGUGCUGCAUGGCUGUCGUCAGCUCGUGUUGUGAAAUGUUGGGUUAAGUCCCGCAACGAGCGCAACCCUUAUCCUUUGUUGCCAGCGAUUAGGUCGGGAACUCAAAGGAGACUGCCAGUGAUAAACUGGAGGAAGGUGGGGAUGACGUCAAGUCAUCAUGGCCCUUACGACCAGGGCUACACACGUGCUACAAUGGCGCAUACAAAGAGAAGCGACCUCGCGAGAGCAAGCGGACCUCAUAAAGUGCGUCGUAGUCCGGAUUGGAGUCUGCAACUCGACUCCAUGAAGUCGGAAUCGCUAGUAAUCGUGGAUCAGAAUGCCACGGUGAAUACGUUCCCGGGCCUUGUACACACCGCCCGUCACACCAUGGGAGUGGGUUGCAAAAGAAGUAGGUAGCUUAACCUUCGGGAGGGCGCUUACCACUUUGUGAUUCAUGACUGGGGUGAAGUCGUAACAAGGUAACCGUAGGGGAACCUGCGGUUGGAUCACCUCCUUA
rnacentral:rRNA from 1 species